GGUGUGACGGCGGCGGCGGAGGGAGCUCGGGAGCACGGCUUUGCUGCUUAACUCGGGAACRCCAGGCCUCAGAGCUGCUGAGGCAUCUUGGUCCGAUUUGGUGAACAGUUGCAGCUGGCGAAUAUAAAGGAGGCAGAAUGCUGAAAGACUUUAACUUUGUGCUGUAAGACAACUAUUUUUUUCAUUUCAAAAUGUAUCUAAAUUUGAAUAGGUUAAAGAAAAGAUUUCAAUAAAUGUGAAAAUUCAGUAACAUAGUCAGUACAUGGACCACACUUGCUACAUUGACUAAUGUUUCAGGACAAUUCAAGGCAAAAUUUGUAUUUCUUUUCAUAUUGCUGGAAACUUCUCAAAUAUGUCCGCUGGGUAUGACCCAAACUGAGCUUUUUUGCCUCGGGGCAGCAUUGCACCCUGCGGGAAGGUGGCUCUCGGUCCCCCUCCUUCCCUCCCUGCGCCGCAGCCAGCGCCUCACCCCCAUGGUUUAUCGCAGCAGGUAGCACACGGCUUCAGCUCUGCUUUAAAACAGGCUGGUCUUUUUAUAAGAGGGAGUGAGAAUGUUGUUACUCUGUGGCAGGGAAACUCGGCUCUGUGAGCAGGCCGGCACAAGGCCGGCGGAGGUUCGAGGAGCCCGUGAGACCUGUUCUGAGCUCUGCAAGGCAAGUGGAGGCCUGUUCUCCAGAUUCACCCGAGGCUGGGAACGUGCUUGGUUAUGCUACUAGCUGCCCUUUUCUGUAAUGCUUAACCGCGGCGAUAUUUGCAGUGCCAGGGCCAGCAGCAGAGGACGAGGUAGUUAAUGCUGCAGACAUCCCGCUCCCGCCACCGAGCUUUCCCCUGCCCUCGGCGGCUGCCUGCCUCCGCUCUCCCGCGGCCCCGGGCUCUGCGGAAAGUCCCGCGGCAGGACGGACCGCCAAAGGAUGCCCCGCGGCUCCUGGCGGGCGCUCGGGUGCCGAGGGCACGUCUGGCAGUGUCUGGGCUGGCUGGUGUCGGAGGUAGGGCUGGGCAAAUACCACGAGAAAAAGUGCAUGACUGCCUGUGUUCAGGCCCCUCUCUAAUGUUUGCUUUCCCCAAAUAUUCAAGCAAACAAGUUUCCUGGCAGAAAUGUUUGUGGAAAUGGCAAAUGUUGCAGAAUAUUCAUGGAAGGCAAGUUUCAAGUCAGUGGCUGUGUCAUAAACCCAAAUGUGACAGCUCUGCUCACGAAAGCAUUUGGGUUUCUGUUCAGCUGGGUUUUGGAUUUAAGGAAAUGCUUACUAGUUAUAUGGAUUUGGGGGGAGCGAGUGGAAUCUGUAACUUGGAGGAAGCUGUGACUUGGGCCAAGUUGCCCAAUGUGGUGCAAUGGAACAAGAUGGAGCUAAUGGCUCCUCUUCCUGGUUUGCUUUUGGGCUCAUCACAUGAUUUUUGUGUAAAAACACAUCAGCCAGAUUUUCAGUUACAAGUGCACACUUGUGGGUAUGAGAACGCACAUACUGUUUGGGAGGCUGCAGUGUAG
rnacentral:lncRNA from 1 species